UGUUCUUUAAUGGUGAAACGAGGCGAAAUGAGCGAGACAAAUUGUUGCUUAUUUAUACUUAUAUUCCUGUGAUUUCAAUUACCAAAUUGAACUUCAUAUCAUAUUUGACUUAGCGGUCAGUCAAUUUCCAUCCAAUAGACCCAUAAUGCUGUCAAAACCUAUGUUUGAAGCUCACAUAUAGUGGAAUACAAAUCUGCCGAGUUAAGGAUCUUUUCUGAAUCUCAGAAUUUUUAUGGCGUACCCUGCAAUAGCAUGUUUGUUGUUAUGGCUGUUUUAUUUGUGUUUAGAAGGAAACCCCGCUAAGAGAUAGAGUUUCAGUGACAUGAAGAGUGUGAAGUGAACCACCUAUCACCAUGCUACUAUAACACUUCAUGACACU